CGUGCAUUUGUGUUGUCCGGUGUUUGAAGACGCUUGGAAUUCGCUUUCAAUUUCUUCGUAGGAAAAAUGUCGGGUGAUACCGAUAAAGCGAAAAUCAGUGACAAUCAGGAUGAAGACAAGAAGUCUGGAACGGGUGACGGCCAGACGACAGAAGACGAGUCCUCCCAGGACUCGAAGGGUGAGUCGCAGGUGUCUCAGAACCCUGCCCAAGCCCCAGGUAACGCCGAUGUAGAUCAACCAGACACCACCAAAGAGGAGAAUAAGUCUAUAGAAGGCGAUUCAAAAUCAACGACGGCCAACGGAAAGGACGAUGACGGCGCAGGGGACGACUCAAAAGAUGACAAGGACGUAAAGUCAGAAGCGGAUUCUAAAAAGGAAGAAAAUGGCGAGACCCAUGAUGAAGAUGAGAAGGAUGACGUGAAGGCUAACGACAAAGGUGCAAAGAAGGCCGCACCUAAAAAGAAACCUAAGAAGGAGGAUACUGAAGAAGAAGAUGAGGAGGAAGAGGAGGAGGAGGAAGAAGAAGAGGAGGAGGAGGGAGAUGAGGGUGACGAGGAAGAAACAAAGAAACCUGCUAAAGAGAAGGCAAAGAAACCAGCAAAGAAAGCUAAAGAUGAUGACGAAGGUGAAGAUGAGGAGGAAGGAGAAGAGGAGGAGGAGGAGGAAGAAGAGGAAGAGGAGGAGGAAGCUCCUAAACCUAAGCCCAAGAAAGAGCCAACAGAGCCGCCCGUCCCGGUGCCAGCCGGUAAAGGCAUCCCACUGGGCCACAUUAGCAACGUGGAAGUAUCACUGUCGCGGUUCAAGACGCAAGAUCAAAAACUUUUGCAUCAAUAUCUAUAUGGGCAACUAUGCUUGGACCGUAAUGUGAAGCGCAACAUCAAGAAGUUCAGAGGUUACGAGUGGGCCAUCGGUUCAUCAGACUACAAAGCCAAGCUGGAAGAAACCACCAAGAUGGAACCUAAAGCAUUGCGGACCAUGUGUGAGAUGCUUGAUCUUGACAAGAAAGGGUCUGCGUCGGAACUAUCAGCGCGCCUAGUAGGGUUCCUGCAGCAACCAGGUCCGAACUCCCCGCACGCGCGCGGCGUGGCCCGCGCCCCGCCCGCCGUGCCGCCCUCCACGCCCGGCGGACGACCACGACGAUCCACUGCCGUCAAGGUCACCAACAGAGGCUACUCUGAUGAAGAAUAUGAUACAGACCAAGAAACAAAAGUCAAAGGACCAAAACCACCAAAAGAUGGCUCAGAAGAUUCAGAUGGUUCGUUCAACCCGAGUGGGUCUGAGGAGGCGGACUCAGACUUCGACCCCGAGGCGGGCGAGAGCGCGGCCGGCGCCGGACGGAAACGUAAACCGUCUGGUAGACGCCGGUCUUCAGGCAAGGCCACUGGCAAGCGAGGACGCAAGCCUAAAGGGAAGAAGGGACGGCCAAGUAAAGGAGGUCGCGGACGGCGGGCGAAGUCAGAUAGUGAAGAAGAAAGUGAAAAGUCAGAGAGUGAGAGUGAGAACGAGUCAGGAAGCGAGGGAGAAGAGUCUGAUGAGCCUAAGUCUAAGCGCGGUCGGCCGGCGGCAGUGGCGAAGGGUCGUAAAGGCGCCGUAGCUAAGAAUGCGUCCGCUAAGGCGACGCCAGUCAAACGGAAAGCACCCACUCCACCGGCUAAGAAGAAGGCACAAGCUGGUAAAGGCGCGGGUCGGCCAGCCAAGAAGGGCAAGAAGGCAUCUUCAGAUGAGGAGUCUGGCGAGGGCAGUGAGGAAGAGGAGGAGGAUGAGGCCAGCGAAGAGGAGGAGGACUCCGGGGAUGAGUCUGAUACACCUGCUGAUAAGAAGGCCAAGCGGCCGCCCACGGACGAGGAGAUCAAGAAGUACGUGAAACAGAUCCUGGAGGGCGCGAACUUGGAGCAGAUCACGAUGAAGACAGUGUGCAAGCAGGUCUACAGCCACUACCCAGACUUUGACCUCGCGCACAAGAAGGACUUCAUCAAGGCUACAGUCAAGUCGUGUAUUUAAGAUAUAGGAGUUAGCGGAGUGUAGAUGUCUACAUAGUAUACCUAUAGAUUAUAAAAGGACAUAGCUAUAUAUUAUUACAAUAAUAAUAUAUUAUGAAUAAUAAAAAAUAAUAUGAAUGAAGUGGAACGGAUAAACACCCGCUUUACUUUACAAGCUCAUAUCAUCGUGAGCAGGUGACUGUUCGGCCACAACACAUACAUAGUCGAGUAAGCACCACUUUACAUACUUAGACUAAUGCCCCCGGCGUCGCCCGGCCCCCCUACAACUACUAACUGACACACGUCACGUUGUCCAGCGCCGCCGAGUGGGCCUAUGUAAUUUUAUGUUGUAGGAAUAAUUCCCAUUAGACUAAGGAUAACCCAAGUAAAACAGCUCUAUUGUAAGAUCGUAUUAUUUUAACUGUGCCUGUAUUAGUAGUUACGAUCACGUUCGUUGAUUAUGUUAUGAGGCAUACGGCUCGGUGUUAGCUCGUAACUGAUAUAUUUCCAUUAUAUACGCUAGAGUUAUCUAUGUUAUAAGUUGUAGUUUGAUAAUUGCAUAUUUUUUUGACAUAAUCAGUUACAUAUUUGUAUGGAUUUGUAUGGCAUAAAGCUGAGGCGCGAUCGUCGGCGGUUUAAAUUGUAAAGUUUAUAUUUAACUUGUUGUUUUGUUCGUAUUUUGGCUUAUGUUAUUGUAUUUACAUUGGGACUCCGGCCGACCGUGGGCAGCAGCUUUAUGUACCGCGACUAUUGUAAUGCUCUAAGUUUGAAAGUACAUUAACGUUAUGUAAGUUUGUACUAACUCGAGCCGUAGCCAGUUCGCUGAGAAGUCAUGUUAAUCCCUUUUAUAUACACUGAUAUGUACAAAGUUCAGGAACAUUGGCACUGUGUGUUAUAUAUAACUUUAUUUUACUAAAUCCAAAAUUACUAUAGUUGUAUCACUUGUAAUAAUCCGUAUAUUAUAAUAAGGAUUUAAUACUAGUGUUGUAAAAUCCAAAAUUAUUUUUUUAUUGGGAUCGGAGAAGACAUUGCAUUUGGCAUUCAUUAACUUGAGUUACGUUUUGUUGGUACAUGUUCGCAAGGAAACUAGGGACGCUGGGAAUUGGUACAUUGUAAACUCUUUAUAACAAAUCCUGUAAUUCUAUUUUCUAUUAGAUUGUCUUUACUUUGUAACUGUCCUAUUGACAAAGACUUAAGGGUGUAUGGGGAAUGUUUCCGAAAACGCAGACAAACGGUUUCUAUAUUUACAAUUGUAAUUGUUUUGUUUUCGUAUUAUUCAUUCAACAUCAGCCUUGAGCGAUUGGUUGUAACUAUUAUUACAUAAAAGAAACAUUACUUUUUUUUUUAAUAAAACUCGUGCUUAACAACUGUCCUCGUUGUUUGGAAGCGUUCCGUUUACACUUUGUGUUAUAUGAAGUAAGACCUCAUCGAGGCUUUCCAUUACUUUUCUCCCUCUGUGUCUUAUCACUUGUAUAACCUGUGAAAACUAUCACGUUCUGUGUUAUAAAGAGUUCACAUACACCGCAUGUUUAAAGUAUGUACUUGUAUAUUGUUUCCUAUUUGUUUUAAACGAUGUACCGUUGUAAGUUAAUUUUCUUAACGCGGACGUAGUUUGGAAAGUUUCUCGCAGUUGGCACUAUCGCAAAAUAUAAUAUUCGAUUUAGGGUUGUUUAAGUGUACUUUAAGAAGUGUAAAUACUACACAGGUGUUGCAAUUUGGGGAUGGUGCGUGUGAAAAUGUUUGACACAUAUUUUAUUGCACGGAGCUGUUGUAGUCGCAUUGUUUCUUGAUGCUUAUACAAAUGUAAGAAGCGACGCGCACUAGAUGGCUCGGUGCGAGGGCGUGCUCUCACUGUAUGCGUGUGCACGUCCCGCGAUGUAAAUGACUUUGUUUCGAUAAGUUAGCGUAACGUUCAGUACAUACGAUGUGUUCAAGUCUGCGGCGGGCGGAGGCCUGCACGUGACUCCCAACCCGACAGGAUCCCCUUACUGCAAUAUUCUAACGCGUAACAAUUUACAUCAAACUUUUUCCAAUCAUAUCAAUGUUUUAUGUUAUCCGAGCUUAGCUUGCAUUAUAGUAGACAGGCAAUUUUCUCACUACACGGAAUAGUGUAUAAGUUUUAUGUUUCUCGAAGGAUCAAGCGCUUCUUAUAAUUUUAGGUGCUGCUAUAGCAUUUGAUAUUGUUUUAAUGUAACUUGUGGCCGAUGUCGCAAAGUCCCGUGGGUGAAGCUAACGUAGGUGCGGGAUCGGUCGAGCGGAGACACGGCGCAAUGCGUUCCCCCAUAGAGGCGACCUGUUUUUGUCUAUAUUCGAUAGUCUCUAUUCGCGAACAGCAUUGCAGACACCGACCCUAUACUUUAAACUACGGUUUAUGGCUUAGGGUUGUAGAUUCGGAUGUUCUGUUUGGUUCAGUUGGCAGCCGUCUCCCCGCGCGCUCGAGUCCCCUAGUUCGUAAGAUAGGUUUAAUCAACAUUAAAUGUGUAUUUGUGAAUUUUUAACCUUAUUUCGGUUGAUGUUUCUUUAUAAAUGUGUAAAUGGCUGAGAUCUGUAGCGAUGUAGUGACCUGGAGUGAUAGCGAGUGACUGGUUCCCCUUUUACAAUUGGAUAAUAGAUAAUAAAGUAAAUAAAAGUUUGA